UACGUAGGGUGCAAGCGUUAAUCGGAAUUACUGGGCGUAAAGCGUGCGCAGGCGGUUUUGUAAGACAGGCGUGAAAUCCCCGGGCUUAACCUGGGAAUGGCGCUUGUGACUGCAAAGCUGGAGUGCGGCAGAGGGGGAUGGAAUUCCGCGUGUAGCAGUGAAAUGCGUAGAUAUGCGGAGGAACACCGAUGGCGAAGGCAAUCCCCUAGGCCUGCACUGACGCGCAUGCACGAAAGCGUGGGGAGCAAACAGG
rnacentral:rRNA from 1 species